GACGAACGCUGGCGGCGUGCCUAAUACAUGCAAGUAGAACGCUGAAGAGAGGAGCUUACUCUUCUUGGAUGAGUUGCGAACGGGUGAGUAACGCGUAGGUAACCUGCCUUGUAGCGGGGGAUAACUAUUGGAAACGAUAGCUAAUACCGCAUAACAAUGGAUGACACAUGUCAUUUAUUUGAAAGGGGCAAUUGCUCCACUACAAGAUGGACCUGCGUUGUAUUAGCUAGUAGGUGAGGUAAUGGCUCACCUAGGCGACGAUACAUAGCCGACCUGAGAGGGUGAUCGGCCACACUGGGACUGAGACACGGCCCAGACUCCUACGGGAGGCAGCAGUAGGGAAUCUUCGGCAAUGGGGGCAACCCUGACCGAGCAACGCCGCGUGAGUGAAGAAGGUUUUCGGAUCGUAAAGCUCUGUUGUAAGUCAAGAACGGGUGUGAGAGCGGAAAGUUCACACUGUGACGGUAGCUUACCAGAAAGGGACGGCUAACUACGUG
rnacentral:rRNA from 1 species